rnacentral:rRNA from 1 species
UACGGAGGGUGCGAGCGUUAUCCGGAAUCAUUGGGUUUAAAGGGUGCGUAGGCUGGUAUUUAAGUCAGUGGUGAAAUUUUCGUGCUUAACAUGAGAGCUGCCAUUGAUACUGGAUACCUUGAGUGUAUUUGAUGUGGGCGGAAUGUGUUGUGUAGCGGUGAAAUGCAUAGAUAUGACACAGAACACCGAUAGCGAAGGCAGCUCACAAAGUUACAACUGACGCUGAUGCACGAAAGCGUGGGGAUCAAACAGG